AAUAAAGUGCCUGAUAAAAGGAUUAUUCUGAUAGGAUAAAUUAUAUAACUCACGUUAUCUUUAUUA
rnacentral:tRNA from 1 species